UACAGAGGUCUCAAGCGUUGUUCGGAUUCAUUGGGCGUAAAGGGUGCGUAGGUGGCGCCGUAAGUCAGGUGUGAAAUCUCGGGGCUUAACCCCGAAACUGCAUUCGAUACUGCGGUGCUUGAGGACUGGAGAGGAGACUGGAAUUCAUGGUGUAGCAGUGAAAUGCGUAGAGAUCAUGAGGAAGACCAGUGGCGAAGGCGGGUCUCUGGACAGUUCCUGACACUGAGGCACGAAGGCCAGGGGAGCAAACGGG
rnacentral:rRNA from 1 species